rnacentral:rRNA from 1 species
CCAAUAGCGUAUAUUAAAGUUGUUGCAGUUAAAAAGCUCGUAGUUGAAUUUCGGGACCAAUAUGUUGGUCGUGCCUCGGUACGUACUGGUGUCAUUGGUUUCUCCCUUCUGAGGAUCUUUGAUGUCACUAAUUUGGUGUCUUGGGGAAUCAGGACUGUUACCUUGAAAAAAUUAGAGUGUUUAAAGCAGGCAUACGCUUGAAUACAUUAGCAUGGAAUAAUGAAAUAGGACGUUCGAUUCUAUUUUGUUGGUUUCUAGGAUCGACGUAAUGAUUAAUAGUGAUAGUUGGGGGCAUUAGUAUUCAAUUGUCAGAGGUGAAAUUCUUGGAUUUAUUGAAGACUAACUACUGCGAAAGCAUUUGCCAAGGAUGUUUUCAUUAAUCAAGAACGAAAGUUAGGGGAUCGAAGACGAUCAGAUACCGUCGUAGUCUUAACCAUAAACUAUACCGACUAGGGAUCGGAUGAUGUUAAUUUUUUAAUGACUCAUUCGGCGCCUUACG